CAGUCGCCACGGUAAUACGGAGGGAGCUAGCGUUGUUCGGAAUUACUGGGCGUAAAGCGCGCGUAGGCGGUUACUUAAGUCAGGGGUGAAAUCCCAGAGCUCAACUCUGGAACUGCCUUUGAUACUGGGUGUCUUGAGUGUGAUAGAGGUAUGUGGAACUCCGAGUGUAGAGGUGAAAUUCGUAGAUAUUCGGAAGAACACCAGUGGCGAAGGCGGCCAUCUGGGACAACACUGACGCUGAGGCACGAAAGCGUGGGGAGCAAACAGGAUUAGAUACCCGGGUAGUCCCUGUCUCUUAUAC
rnacentral:rRNA from 1 species